GAUGAACGCUGGCGGCGUGCCUAAUACAUGCCAGUCGAGCGAACGGACGAGAAGCUUGCUUCUCUGAUGUUAGCGGCGGACGGGUGAGUAACACGUGGAUAACCUACCUAUAAGACUGGGAUAACUUCGGGAAACCGGAGCUAAUACCGGAUAAUAUUUUGAACCGCAUGGUUCAAAAGUGAAAGACGGUCUUGCUGUCACUUAUAGAUGGAUCCGCGCUGCAUUAGCUAGUUGGUAAGGUAACGGCUUACCAAGGCAGCGAUGCAUAGCCGACCUGAGAGGGUGAUCGGCCACACUGGAACUGAGACACGGUCCAGACUCCUACGGGAGGCAGCAGUAGGGAAUCUUCCGCAAUGGGCGAAAGCCUGACGGAGCAACGCCGCGUGAGUGAUGAAGGUCUUCGGAUCGUAAAACUCUGUUAUUAGGGAAGAACAUAUGUGUAAGUAACUGUGCACAUCUUGACGGUACCUAAUCAGAAAGCCACGGCUAACUACGUG
rnacentral:rRNA from 1 species